rnacentral:RNase_P_RNA from 2 species
UGGAGUGGGUGCAUGAUCGCUCCGGUUUCAAAAGCCGGGGAGGAAAGUCCGAACUCUACAGGGCAGGAUGGUUCGUAACACGAACGCCGGGUGACCGGGGGAAAGUGCCACAGAAAACAAACCGCCUGAACACGUUCAGGUAAGGGUGAAACGGUGAGGUAAGAGCUCACCGCCUCUCUGGUGACAGCGAGGGCACGGCAAACCCCAUCCAGAGCAAGACCAAAUAGGGAGAUGUUUGAGGGCGGCCCGUCCGAGAUCUCCGGGUAGGUUGCACGAGGUGUUGAGCGAUCAACAUCCUAGUUAAAUGAUCAUGGCCCCUCACGGGGUACAGAAUUCGGCUUAUAGCCCACUCCAUUUU